ACUUGCCUACGGGGCGCAGCAGUAGGGAAUUUUCGUCAAUGGGCGCAAGCCUGAACGAGCGAUGCCGCGUGAGUGAAGAAGGCUUUCGGGUCGUAAAGCUCUGUUGCGGGGGAAAAAAGGCAGCAUCAGAAAAUGGGUGCUGACUGAUGGUGCCCCGCCAGAAAGUCACGGCUAACUACGUGCCAGCAGCCGCGGUAAUACGUAGGUGGCGAGCGUUAUCCGGAAUGAUUGGGCGUAAAGGGUGCGCAGGCGGUCCUGCAAGUCUGUAGUGAAACGCAUGAGCUCAACUC
rnacentral:rRNA from 1 species